AUUGAACGCUGGCGGCAGGCUUAACACAUGCAAGUCGAGCGGAGAUGAGGUGCUUGCACCUUAUCUUAGCGGCGGACGGGUGAGUAAUGCUUAGGAAUCUGCCUAUUAGUGGGGGACAACAUUCCGAAAGGAAUGCUAAUACCGCAUACGUCCUACGGGAGAAAGCAGGGGAUCUUCGGACCUUGCGCUAAUAGAUGAGCCUAAGUCGGAUUAGCUAGUUGGUGGGGUAAAGGCCUACCAAGGCGACGAUCUGUAGCGGGUCUGAGAGGAUGAUCCGCCACACUGGGACUGAGACACGGCCCAGACUCCUACGGGAGGCAGCAGUGGGGAAUAUUGGACAAUGGGGGAAACCCUGAUCCAGCCAUGCCGCGUGUGUGAAGAAGGCCUUAUGGUUGUAAAGCACUUUAAGCGAGGAGGAGGCUACUGAGACUAAUACUCUUGGAUAGUGGACGUUACCCGCAGAAUAAGCACCGGCUAACUCUGUGCCAGCCGCCGCAGUAA
rnacentral:rRNA from 1 species